CGAACGCUGGCGGCGUGCUUAAUACAUGCAAGUCGAACGAGAAAGCCCGACUUCGGUCGGGCCGGUAAAGUGGCGAACGGGUGAGUAACACGUGGGCAAUCUACCUUUAAAUUUGGGAUAAUCCUCCGAAAGGGGGUCUAAUACCGAAUAAUACUACUGGAGGGCAUCCUUUGGUAGUCAAAGACGGGGCAACCUGUCGUUUAGAGAUGAGCCCGCGUCCCAUUAGCUUGUUGGUGAGGUAACGGCUCACCAAGGCUGCGAUGGGUAGCCGGCCUGAGAGGGCGAUCGGCCACACUGGGACUGAGAUACGGCCCAGACUCCUACGGGAGGCAGCAGUAGGGAAUAUUGCACAAUGGACGAAAGUCUGAUGCAGCAACGCCGCGUGAAUGAUGAAGCUCUUCGGAGUGUAAAAUUCUGUCAGUGGGGAAGAAACGUGUUGGGAGUAACUGCCCUUCACCUGACGGUACCCGCAGAGGAAGUCCCGGCUAACUCC
rnacentral:rRNA from 1 species